AAGCGGCAACAGCUCAAAUUUGAAAUCUGGCUCUUUUAGGGUCCGAGUUGUAAUUUGCAGAGGGCGCUUUGGCUUUGGCAGCGGUCCAAGUUCCUUGGAACAGGACGUCACAGAGGGUGAGAAUCCCGUACGUGGUCGCUAGCUAUCGCCGUGUAAAGCCCCUUCGACGAGUCGAGUUGUUUGGGAAUGCAGCUCUAAAUGGGAGGUAAAUUUCUUCUAAAGCUAAAUAUUGGCCAGAGACCGAUAGCGCACAAGUAGAGUGAUCGAAAGAUGAAAAGCACUUUGGAAAGAGAGUCAAACAGCACGUGAAAUUGUUGAAAGGGAAGCGCUUGCAGCCAGACUUGCUUGCAGUUGCUCAUCCGGGCUUUUGCCCGGUGCACUCUUCUGUAGGCAGGCCAGCAUCAGUUUGGGCGGUGGGAUAAAGGUCUCUGUCACGUACCUCUCUUCGGGGAGGCCUUAUAGGGGAGACGACAUACCACCAGCCUAGACUGAGGUCCG
rnacentral:rRNA from 1 species